rnacentral:lncRNA from 1 species
CACCUACAAGGAACAAGUCUAUCAGGAAGCAAGCAGAACAGGAACCCAUGCCUAGAACUGAUUGCAACUGAAAAAAAAAAAUGGGUUUGCACAAUCAAAAGCAUCAGAAGAGAAAAUGCAUUGGAAGCUGUAAUCUUAAUCACCUGGUUCUUAUACUUUGAAGGGAUCCUUGAUUUUAUGCAAGGAAGAUGAUAAUGACUACUUCUGGAAUAACACAAUUUUAGAGCUCAAACAGACCUCAGCAGCCUUCUGGUCCAACUCAUAGCUAAAAAAGAAAUGAUGAUGUGAAAGAUGUAUAAUCAUGGGUUCUUAUGAUUCUAUGGGACUUAAAAAAGUAAUCUUUUUUUGGUACACUUGCAUAUUUUAAAGUUUUAUUGAUGUCUUUUGCAUUUACAUUAUAUUAAUUUCUGAAUAUACCUCUCCUGUCUUCUAUCAGUGAGCCUUCCCUUAUAACAAAGAUUGAAAAAGGAAAAAAAAAACAGUUGAGUAAAACCAACAAGCAAGUCAUCUGUAUCUGACAGCAUAUGUAACAUUUUGUAUC